CCUCCCUCUCUCUCAGGCUACUGUGGAGAUGCUCUUGCCAUCCACUCCUUCAUCAUCAGAGGAUUACCAUUACUGUGGCUGAGCUAAGAAACAAGACAGAGAGAAUGACAAUGGCUGAUUUCUGCUCACUCCCUGCUGAUCUCAGAUCUGAAACCAACCUUCAGCUGACAGGAAGUUGACCCAGAGACGGAGGAACAGGAAGGAAGUCAGCCAGGGAAGCCUCCGUACCCCCAGCUCUCGCCCACACACUCUUUACCGUCUUUUCCGUUGUCUACCAACAUCUUCAACACAAGCCCCGAAUCAAAUGCUUCUUUAUGUUGUUUCACUCCUGCCCUUCUCCCUUAUAUUUUGUUCUUUUUUGUCUUUGCAGGCCCUGUUUUUGUGUGUGCU